UCAAGGUAGAGUGUUUCUGGGUUC
rnacentral:piRNA from 1 species